rnacentral:rRNA from 1 species
ACGGAGGGUGCAAGCGUUAAUCGGAAUUACUGGGCGUAAAGCGCACGCAGGCGGUCUGUUAAGUCAGAUGUGAAAUCCCCGGGCUCAACCUGGGAACUGCAUUUGAAACUGGCAGGCUUGAGUCUUGUAGAGGGGGGUAGAAUUCCAGGUGUAGCGGUGAAAUGCGUAGAGAUCUGGAGGAAUACCGGUGGCGAAGGCGGCCCCCUGGACAAAGACUGACGCUCAGGUGCGAAAGCGUGGGGAGCAAACAG